rnacentral:rRNA from 1 species
GUAGUCAUAUGCUUGUCUCAAAGAUUAAGCCAUGCAUGUCUAAGUUCAAGCGAAAAUAAAGUGAAACCGCGAAUGGCUCAUUAUAUCAGUUAUGGUUCCUUAGAUCGCACUAACUACUUGGAUAACUGUGGUAAUUCUAGAGCUAAUACAUGCGCUGAGCCCCGGCCUUCGGGAAGGGGCGCUUUUAUUAGAUCAAAGCCAAUCGGGUCUUCGGGCUCGUUCUUUUGGUGACUCUGAAUAACUUUGCUGAUCGCAUGGCCUUGUGCCGGCGACGUAUCUUUCAAGUGUCUGCCUUAUCAACUUUCGAUGGUAGGUUAUGCGCCUACCAUGGUUGCAACGGGUAACGGGGAAU